ensembl:snRNA U6 U6 spliceosomal RNA
GUGCUCACUUCGGCAGCACAUGCACUAAAACUGAAACGAUACAGAGAUUAGCAUGGCCCCAGUGCAAGGAUGACACGCAGAUUCGUGAAGCAUUCCAUAUUUUU